UGUCAAGUUCAGAGUUACGCUGCAGACUGC
rnacentral:piRNA from 1 species